GCGAAAAUGGCGAAAUUGGUAGACGCGCUAGACUUAGGAUCUAGUGGAGAGAUCCGUGGGGGUUCGAGUCCCCCUUUUCGCAC
rnacentral:tRNA from 1 species